UCGCCACAACAGCAGGGAUGCUGCUCACUCGACUUCCUCAUCAAAUCACAGUUAAAAUGAUCAAGCCGGACCCUUGAGUGCUGCCAGAUUGUUAAUCUUGUUUGUGGUGAACUGGUGGACCGCAACACAGGACCAGAGGGACGGGCUGUGACCGGAUUAGUAACGGGCAAAGAGCUUCUCUUAUUCAGUCAUGAGCCACCCAUGAUGAUGAGAAUGCAAACUGAGAAAACACCCUUAAGCCAGUAUGAUUGAAGACGAGCAGGAGCCCAACUGCUGCCGAAAGAGAGAUUUCAUAAGGACUGCUGUG